rnacentral:rRNA from 1 species
AGAGUUUGAUCCUGGCCUCAGAAUGAACGUUGGCGGCGCUGGAUUAGGCAUGCAAGUCGAACGAAUCCCCGGGGCAACCCGGGGGGAAGUGGCGAAAGGGGCAGUAAGGCGUGGGCAACCUACCCCGGGGACGGGCAUAGCCCUCCUAACGGAGGGGUAAUACCCGGCGAUGUGCCGAGGGGGCAUCCCCCUGGCAUGAAAGGAAUCUCGCCUCGGGCGGGGCUCACGUGAUAUCAGCUCGUUGGCGGGGUGACGGCCCACCAAGGCGACGACGUCUAGCGGGUGUGAGAGCACGACCCGCGCCACUGGCACUGAGACACUGGCCAGACUCCUACGGGAGGCUGCAGUCGAGGAUCUUCGGCAAUGGGCGCAAGCCUGACCGAGCGACGCCGCGUGUGCGAUGAAGGCCUUCGGGUUGUAAAGCACUGUCGAGGGGAAGGAAGGCCGCAAGGCUUGACCUAUCCCUGGAGGAAGCACGGGCUAAGUUCGUGCCAGCAGCCGCGGUAAGACGAACCGUGCGAACGUUAUUCGGAUUCACUGGGCUUAAAGGGCGCGUAGGCGGCUCCGCGAGUCGGGGGUGAAAUCUUUCAGCCCAACUGGAAGAGGGCCUCCGAGACCGCGGGACUCGAGGGGGAUAGGGGUGCGCGGAACUUCCGGUGGAGCGGUGAAAUGCGUAGAUAUCGGAAGGAACGCCGGUGGCGAAAGCGGCGCACUGGAUCCCUACUGACGCUGAGGCGCGAAAGCCAGGGGAGCGAACGGGAUUAGAUACCCCGGUAGUCCUGGCCCUAAACGAUGAGGACUAGGUAGUGGGCUUGCAUGGGCUCACUGCCGGA